AUACGGAAGGUCCGGGCGUUAUCCGGAUUUAUUGGGUUUAAAGGGAGCGCAGGCGGAGAUGCAAGCGUGACGUCAAAUUUCGGGGCUCAACCCCGUCUCGCGUCGCGAACUGCGUCCCUUGGUUGCGGGAAGGGGAGGCGGAACUCGUGGUGCAGCGGUGAAAUGCAUAGAUAUCACGAAGAACUCCGAUCGCGAAGGCAGCCUUCCGGCCCGUCAACGACGCUCAUGCUCGAAGGUGCAGGUAUCAAACAGGAUUAGAUACCCUGGUAGUCCGCACAGUAAACGAUGGACACCCGCGGUUUGGCCUGUAUGGCUGAGCCGCCAAGCGAAAGCGUUAAGUGUCCCACCUGGGGAGUACGCCGGCAACGGUGAAACUCAAAUGAAUUGACGGGG
rnacentral:rRNA from 1 species